GGAUGCGAACAUGAUCUGGCUGUGACCUCUGUCAUCUCAUCGAUUACCAGGGUUGAUUUGGUUGAUCUGGCUGGUGAGGUGGGUGUGCCCUUCCUCCCUCACCACUCCCACGUGCAUCCCUCUUCAUGUGCACGCUUGGUUGAAGGGGAUGACCUCCGCCAAAAGAGGAGCACCAUUCUUUGGUCAAGGGUAUAUGAGCCGUACUCCUCUGCUAGAGCCUCCAAACAAGCUCUCGGGGUCCAUUUGUAGCGUAGGGUGGUCAGGCUUCCAGGACUCCAGACAUGUCGAAUGCAGCACUGCAUGUGACAGUCUACCUUUGU
rfam:Felis catus isolate Cinnamon breed Abyssinian chromosome D1, whole genome shotgun sequence.